AGAGUUUGAUCAUGGCUCAGGAUGAACGCUGGCGGCGUGCCUAAUACAUGCAAGUCGAACGCGCAGCGAGAGGUGCUUGCACCUUUCAAGCGAGUGGCGAACGGGUGAGUAACACGUGGAUAACCUGCCUCAAGGCUGGGGAUAACAUUUGGAAACAGAUGCUAAUACCGAAUAAAACUUAGUAUCGCAUGAUAUAAAGUUAAAAGGCGCUACGGCGUCACCUAGAGAUGGAUCCGCGGUGCAUUAGUUAGUUGGUGGGGUAAAGGCUUACCAAGACAAUGAUGCAUAGCCGAGUUGAGAGACUGAUCGGCCACAUUGGGACUGAGACACGGCCCAAACUCCUACGGGAGGCUGCAGUAGGGAAUCUUCCACAAUGGGCGCAAGCCUGAUGGAGCAACGCCGCGUGUGUGAUGAAGGCUUUCGGGUCGUAAAGCACUGUUGUAUGGGAAGAAAUGCUAAAAUAGGGAAUGAUUUUAGUUUGACGGUACCAUACCAGAAAGGGACGGCUAAAUACGUGCCAGCAGCCGCGGUAAUACGUAUGUCCCGAGCGUUAUCCGGAUUUAUUGGGCGUAAAGCGAGCGCACACGGUUGAUUAAGUCUGAUGUGAAAGCCCGGAG
rnacentral:rRNA from 1 species